GUUCAGACGAGGCUCCGCGGCCAAAGUCCUGGAAAAGCCAGAGGAGGAAGAGCGCGGGGACAAGAAGGAGCUUGUCUUCGGAGAGUACAAGCCCUCGAUGGGCUCCAGGCCCGCGGUCCAGCCGGCGAUGGGGCAGUUGGUGAGGUUUUCUGCCAACAGCAGCAGCAGCAGCAAACAGAAUGCAGAACCCGCUCCACACCUCGUCCUCCUUGCAGACGGAACCCCGUGCGGAGGAGAAGGGCCGGAGACGACUGGCUGGGCUGGGAGGAUGAGGAUUUCAUGGACCCGUCCCAGCCAAGGGCAGCAGCCAGCUCGGGGCUGCAGAGCAGGCAGCGGCUAAACCCGACCCGACGGACUGGCUGAUCGAUGCCUUGGCUCGCAGGAGAGCCGAAGAACAGGCCAAGGCACAGGAGAAAAUGGCCGAGCCCAUGGAGACCUAGGAGAAGAAAGCCAAGCCCUCAGAGACUGAGGAGAAGAAGGCCGAGCCCUCGGAGGCCCAAGAGAAAAGGAACGAACCCUCGGAGGCCCAAGACACAACGGCCGAGCCCUCAGAGACCGCGGGCGAAGGGCUGGGUCCCCGCUGUCCCGGCAGGUAAAGGCCCGGUCAAUGGCCGCAGCGCUGCCGUCUGCUCCACGUGUGGCUGCUGCAGCAGCAGCUCUCAGCAGCGCUUGCCUCAGAUUGACCCAAUUCGUGUUAAGCACUUUCUCGUAUCCAGUUGGGGUAAUGCCGCGGGUCUUUGUCCCGCUGAUCCAGCCCGCAGUCCCGUUCCCCUCGGCAGGUUCAGACUUGUGCCGUCCCAAUGGGGCUCAGAAGGGAAU